UUCUGGCCCAGCUAUAAAAACACCGACAGAAUCGAAAGGGCAGCUUUAAAUGAGGAGCAGCAUGAGCCAAACUGGCCAAGAUUUGACGUUUCUGUUGUCCGAACUUGUGACAACUACAAAGACGCAUUAAAAAUAAUGCAACAAUAUGGAAAGGGCUGCGACACCUCAGACCUGCAAUCUGAGGCAGAGAACGAGGAGCUGCCAGAAAAAAGGAACAGGAAGCCAGUCCAUCGUCUCGGGGACUCAGAUGAUAGCAAAGAAGACCCGGGAAAUAGUGACCUCACAUCUCUGGGGUUGGCAAGCCAAUUGCACAGGCAGACUCCACCAUCUCGCCGAGUGCCAGCAAGAGUCAUGAGUACUUGUUAACUCGACUCCUCAACUGGAGAUAACUUUCUAGCACCUCACCAUGGGGAAGGACGCAUUCAUAUGCCUUCACCAGCACCUGCAUUAAACAUGCAGAGAGUUACACAAGGAACGGCAGUCCCUCCUCGACUCCCUCCACCCCCCUCACCAGCAGCCCUCAACAUGUGGCAGACAGAGGAGCCUGGAUCCAGC